UGACCUGCGGGGCGAGAGAAGAGACACAAGGGGGAGAAGAGGACUGGGGCUCGAAUCCAUCUUAGGAGCUGAAAGGGAACUGACAUCAAUAGGGUUUUUUUCUUCUCCCCCACCCCAACAUCUUCAAAGCAGAUGCUGAGGCCACUUUCCUGACCUGAAAUGGAUUUUUCUUAUUUCUUAUUUUAAUUUUAAGGAAAAAGUCCACCAGUUGUUAUUUCCACUUCUACUGCUUUGGGGACUGCCUAGGUCUCUCACCCAAGCAGAGUCUAGCCUGGAGGAAAAAAAAAAAAAGAGGAUCUCCGAAAGAGACAGUAAGGACAAGCAAGUUGAGCAGGGAACCUUCUCCUGUGAGGAGCCCUCUCGUUCUCCUCCCACCUCACGAAGACAACAGCCUGACCUACAAACUUCCUGAAGAUUUUUUUAACCUCCAGAGCCAGCAGAACCGAACCUCCUCACUGGCCCUGCGGCAGUCUGUUUCCUUUGAUUUCUCCAAAAGAAGAAAAGAAGAGAGAAACUGGAUAACUGCUUGACUUUUCUACCAAGAGAUACGAGAGUGCUUCCUGAAUAAGAACACCUUUACCCAAGGCAAAAAAGAAAGUCAACAGAGCAAUCAGAAAAAAUUAUUCUCUGGGUUGGAAACGGGGUACUUUGUUUACUGAAGUUUUCCAAGGCAAAAAAAAAAAAAAAUCAUUAUUUUAACACAGACUUUUAAAACUGUGCAGAAAAAAAAUAAAGCUCCAAGCUGUCAUA